GCCCAGGUGGUGAAAUUGGUAGACACGCUACCUUGAGGGGGUAGUGGCUUAUGGCUGUGCCGGUUCGAGUCCGGCUCUGGGCACCA
rnacentral:tRNA from 1 species